rnacentral:lncRNA from 1 species
GUAUAAUUUCAAAUAAAGCAAAACAUUAUGUUUGCACCUGUAAUCUGUACAAUAGCUGACUGAUUGCAUGAUAAUCAGAUAUAUGUUACCUUCCGGAUUGUCAACCCAUAUCACCUGUAUGUAUUUUAAAAUGAAACCUUCUUUAUAGUAAAUUACGAAAAAGUAAUCAUGAUGCAUACUCAUCCAUCCACUUUGAAGCAUGUAUGAAUCAAAAUUUCACUUCAUAUCUUUGAAAAAAAAGUCAUCCGGCCUGAUGAACUAAUUUCAGCUAGUUUCGUUGGUUCGUGUCUAUAUAUUUGAUUUUGGUAAAUUGUAUGUCACAAUGUAUGGCUGUCUCGUUUUAAUUUAAUUCAUUCGUUUCAGGUUUUUAUCCUCAAUGUUUGCCAUUUGAUUACGAAUACUCCGUUUUGGGUUUGCCUAUAAGUUUUGAAUUUUCUUCGUGGUUGAGAAUUUUGUAAUGUUACUUUUGAAGUGUUUAAACGUUUAUAUGUAGGACAUUUUAUAGCAGACUGUACUGUUUUAAGAUUUCUUAUUGUUG